UCCGAGUUGACCCCGGCAGUCUCCUAUGAGUCCCCAACUUAAUGAUGGCAACACGCCACGGGGGUUGCGCUCGUUGCGGGACUUAACCCAACAUUUCACAACACGAGCUGACGACAGCCAUGCACCACCUGUGCUACACCCUCGAAGGCGACUGCUUUUCGGCAGCUUGCAGUAGCAUGUCAAGCCCUGGUAAGGUUCUUCGCGUUGCAUCGAAUUAAGCUACAUGCUCCACCGCUUGUGCGGGCCCCCGCCAAUUCCUUUGAGUUUCAACCUUGCGGCCGUAGUCCCCAGGCGGUUCACUUAAUGCGUUAGCUGCGGCACCGAGGGUUACCCCCCAACACCUAGUGAACAUCGUUUAGGGCCGAGACUAC
rnacentral:misc_RNA from 1 species